UCCUUUUUAAGGACAGUCGCAUCGGGUUUUCCAUCACAACCUUUCUCCCUUCAGUGACGUCAUCACAAGCUGUGGGGAAAACCAUGAGGAGAGAGGGAGAAAACAUCUUGCCGGCAAUAAUACCAUUCCCUACAUUCCAGUGAUAACCAGCAUAAGGACUUGUGACUAUAUAUAUAUAUAUUUUUUUAAAUAAAUAGAAUUACACUAUGGGAUUUCUAUGUUCCCUCUUCGGAGCUAAAGGUAUACUGUGAGGAGGAUCCACACCUUGGGAAAUAAUACAUGCGAUACCCUCAGAAAAGGUCUUAAUACCCCGGAGACACCAUUAUCUGCUUAGCAAGACCUUUCCUGGAGUUAACAUGUCUCUCUUUAGAGAAAUCAAAGGUCCCACAGCAACUCCGGUACUGGAGCACUGUGAUGUUGUUGGCACACCUGGAAGGAAAAGAGCAUAAAGCUUUAUUAUUUCCAUCAAAUUCCCAAUCAGCUCUUGGAUAAAGUGUGCACCUGUAGCACCUUCUCUACCACUUCUAUGGUGUCUAAUUAUCCUGCCCACAGAGAAGGUCUUGCAUAAUGUAAUACGUGCAGUUAAAGUUCACUCGGCAAAAACACUAAUGAAAGUGAAUUUUUGUUUGAGACUUUAAUCACAUAAUCCCUCUGCGGCUCACUGUUUUACAAAUACUGAGAAGCCCAAAUAAUAAAGGUCAAAAUAGUGGUAUUAGAGAUUUUUUAAACCACAAUUAAACUCUAUUUCUCUAAAACCACGAAUGCCAUGAAAAGUUAAU